UUGACGAAAGAAGAUAUUCUGCAAAUCAACAACACACAUCCAAUAUACUUUUAAUAAUUGAUGGAAAAGAGGCUGGCUACAUCUAUUGCCAUAAUUUGGUUCAUUUACAUGCUCUGAAAACAUCCUGAGAUUCAAGAUAAGGGACAUGUAACCAUUACAUCCUAAAGGUUCUUCAAGGUGAUGGAACAUUCACAGUUGAAUGGGACAAAUGUGAGAACAGAGAGAUUUUAGCGGUCAAUCAGCAUAACCAGGAAAUUUAAGGAACUUUUAAAUAUCACACCAGAGGCUAACCUAAAUGCAUGAAGAUCAAAGUGGUUGAUGAGUUUGUUUAUUAGCUGAUCUAGACCAAGACUGAACAAAUGAACAGGGGAUAAGAUGAUUUCUAUUGAAGAAAGAAGACAUUCUAUCAAGGUUUCUGCAUAGCAACAACACACAUCCAAAGUCACAGAUGUUGAAGAAUUUGCAAACAGUGUGAGUGAAGAAACUCUCAAGACUCUUUCAUGCAGUUCCAAUG